rnacentral:rRNA from 1 species
AACGAACGCUGGCGGCAUGCCUAACACAUGCAAGUCGAACGAAGCCUUCGGGCUUAGUGGCGCACGGGUGCGUAACACGUGGGAAUCUGCCCUUCGGUUCGGAAUAACAGUUAGAAAUGACUGCUAAUACCGGAUGAUGACGUAAGUCCAAAGAUUUAUCACCGAAGGAUGAGCCCGCGUAGGAUUAGGUAGUUGGUAGGGUAAUGGCCUACCAAGCCGACGAUCCUUAGCUGGUCUGAGAGGAUGAUCAGCCACACUGGGACUGAGACACGGCCCAGACUCCUACGGGAGGCAGCAGUGGGGAAUAUUGGACAAUGGGCGAAAGCCUGAUCCAGCAAUGCCGCGUGAGUGAUGAAGGCCUUAGGGUGUAAAGCUCUUUACCAGGGAUGAUAAUGACAGUACCUGGAGAAUAAGCUCCGGCUAACUCCGUGCCAGCAGCCGCGGUAAU